GGGGGGGGGGGGGGGGGGGGGGGGGGCGGGGGGGGCGGGCGGGCGGGGGCGGGGGGUGGGGGGGGCGCGACGGGCGGAGUGGGGAGGGACACGGGGGUAGCCUGCCCUUGGCGUGGGGGGACCUUCGGGGGACUUGGGCUAGUACCGGCUCGGCGCUCCGGCUGCAGUGUGGGGGUUGGACAGUGUCGGCGGUGGUGUAUGGCCUCGCGGCUUAUCAGCUUGUGGGUGGUGUAGUGGCUUACCAAGGAUUUGACGGGUAGCCGGCCUGAGAGGGUGACCGGCCACAUUGGGACUGAGAUACGGCCCAGACUCCUACGGGAGGCAGCAGUGGGGAAUAUUGCACAAUGGGCGGAAGCCUGAUGCAGCGACGCCGCGUGCGGGAUGACGGCCUUCGGGUUGUAAACCGCUUUCGCCUGUGACGAAGCGUGAGUGACGGUAAUGGGUAAAGAAGCACCGGCUAACUACAUG
rnacentral:rRNA from 1 species